rnacentral:lncRNA from 1 species
GCAAGUUUGCUGAAGCAGACUGCACCUGAAUAGACACAGAGCCAUGAACCUCAUGGCCAAGGUCAGCUACCCGAGCCUCCAGAACUCCUGAAGGAGCUGACAGCCACAGAGAUGUGUGGUGGAGGCUCUCCACUCAUCACCAUCCUGGACAAGAGAUUCCUGGCUUGCUUCACCUCACAGAGCUGGCUUCUCUACCCAAGGCCUCUACUGGAAUGAAGCAAUCACAAAGCCUUUAAUUCCCACCCAGACGCCUUCCAAGAUGAAACUGGGCCACAGUUUUCCCAGACAACAACAGUCCAGAAAAAGAAAGCUAUCUCAUUUCCAAGAAGGGGGGAGUCCAGGGAGCUGGACAAACUCACAAACAUUCAUGGUGGAGAAGGAAGGAAGUCAUGGCUGACUGACCCAUCAAAGCCCUUGAAUAAUUGCCGAUGGGUUUCUUGGUAUGAUGUGCCCUAAACCAUGCCACUCUCUUCUGUUUGUUGGUCCAUCAAGAACUGCAAAGGUUGGCUCAGAGACCGCCUGCUACACUCUUCCACAGCUGUGUCCCUAGCUCCCACUCGAUUUGACUCAGAAGAUGUCAACUUGCAGAACAAAGGCUUAGUGAGCAGAGUUGGUGGAUGGGGAGCAAAACUGAGGCCUCCCCCCCCCCCCCCCGGGGUGGGAGGGUAAGAGCCAGGAAGGUUCCAAUCCUAUAAAACUGUUACAAGUUUUAGGAGGUAAAUUUGUUCCCUUAAGAAAGGAAUAUUGGGAA